rnacentral:rRNA from 1 species
UAGGGAAUCUUCGGCAAUGGGGGGAACCCUGACCGAGCAACGCCGCGUGAGUGAAGAAGGUUUUCGGAUCGUAAAGCUCUGUUGUUAAGGAAGAACGAGUGUGAGAAUGGAAAGUUCAUACUGUGACGGUACUUAACCAGAAAGGGACGGCUAACUACGUGCCAGCAGCCGCGGUAAUACGUAGGUCCCGAGCGUUGUCCGGAUUUAUUGGGCGUAAAGCGAGCGCAGGCGGUUAGAUAAGUCUGAAGUUAAAGGCAGUGGCUCAACCAUUGUAGGCUUUGGAAACUGUUUAACUUGGGUGCAGAAGGGGAGGGUGGAAUUCCAUGUGUAGCGGUGAAAUGCGUAGAUAUAUGGAGGAACACCGGUGGCGAAGGCGGCUCUCUGGUCUGUAACUGACGCUGAGGCUCGAAAGCGUGGGGGGCGAACAGG